AUGGUUGCAGUUUUUGCAACUAGACGUUUUCCAAGUCAAGAUUUUGACUUGAUACAUUGUUCCCACUGUAGAAAUAAUUGGACUCAAGAUGUGAUGCUUAAUAUUACCACUCGACUCUACAGGAUGUUUUUGAAAAAUGACGGGUAUAUUGCGGUAUGGCAGAAACCUUUUAACAAUAGAUGGUAUUUAAGCCGUGAUGCAGGAAAUAAACCUCCUCUUUGCGAUCUCAGUGACGACCCAGAUGAUGUUUGGUAUUGUAUUCAAGCCUUUUGGAUAUUUCAAUGA